UACAGAGGUCUCAAGCGUUGUUCGGAUUCAUUGGGCGUAAAGGGUGUGUAGGUGGCGCCGUAAGUCGGGUGUGAAAUUUCGGAGCUUAACUCCGAAACUGCAUUCGAUACUGCGGUGCUUGAGGACUGGAGAGGAGACUGGAAUUCCUGGUGUAGCGGUGAAAUGCGCAGAUAUCAGGAGGAACACCGGUGGCGAAGGCGGGUCUCUGGGCCGAUACUGACGCUGAGGAGCGAAAGCGUGGGGAGCGAACAGG
rnacentral:rRNA from 1 species